rnacentral:lncRNA from 1 species
CCCGCGUAGCAAAGUCAAGGCAAUGGUGGUGUUGCGUGCGUUGAUCCACCGCCUGGCCCGCAGCUCGUGCAGCAACGGGCCUAAGGUUAGUCAGCUCAAGGCCUCAGGAGUCGUUCGUGCGAUGGCUUUAGCGGCUGUAGAUUUAUCAUGCAGAUUGUAGAACAAGGUAAGCUUAAUUAGUGAUAUAUACGAAGUCACAUUAGGUUCAUAUGAUCUCUGAGCAGUAAAAUGUGGUCUUUCAUUUUUAUUCAACAUUUUUUCCUCUUGUGUGUCUGGUUGGUUGCUGACUCACACAGCACGAGUUGGUCACACUGUGACAAAUGGGGAGAAUGGCGUGAAGAAAAUGCAAGAGGGGCAGCAAUGGUCGUGGUACAACUACGGUAAGGUCCAGCGGGAUAGGAACAAGCUCCUGUGGGUCACGACCAAGUGGUGCAGGUGCAUGACUCUACGUCUCUCUCUGCCUACUUGUUUGUGCCCUGGUCCAUAGUUCAGAUAGUGUUGAAUCGAGCUGAUCUGUGGGGAGUUAUUGUGAGGAGGUUAGGUUCAGUUGGUGCUAACUCGGUUUCGUCAUUUUUGUGGGGUAUUGUGGUCUGUGGUGCAUUAAAAAAUGUCAUCCUUGCAAAAAUUAACCCUACACUCUUCUUGAAUCCGUUAUUGUUUUCUAUCCAUUUCUGAAUUGUUAGUUGCUGAUGGUAAUAAAAACAAGUACAGUUCCUCUAGCAGCAUACUACCAAAUGGUACAACUAAGAAGUUGAAUCAUCAUAGCUUAUUUAUCUGUCCAUCUGCACUGCAAGCAGUCAAAAAAAUCCAUCUUUUUUUUACAAAUGAAGAUCAAGGCCUCAACACGAACAAAAGAUUGCUCGGAUAGUUAGAGAGGGAAAAAUAUUCAAUCUACAAGAUAAGAAUGGGAAAGAACUAGGUGGCCCAUCGGUCCGGCAGAUUGCUCAUGUUGUUGCACUAGGAUGUGAUCUGAAAGUGUGUGGAGCCACAUGGUGUUCGAGCACCCCCAAGACGUGGAGUCUCACGACCUGAUGUUGUGGAAUCGCUGUUGCCGAAGGCCAACAUGACGCAGGUGAACAUCGCUGGGAACCUGACGCAUGGUGGAUGAUGCCGAGAACCUGACGCCAAAGAGCACAAGGGACGACACGGACUCAUGCCUCAGCGGGCUGGUGUAGGAGCUGGAGAAGGCCAACAGCUCUAUUUGGGAGUAAUUAGCAGUUACCAACGACAUGUUGAAACAAGCAGUUACCAACAACCAAUUAUUCCUAUUAAAAGAAAGAGAGACGCCAUGCAAUUAUCAUUUUAGCUAUUUUUGUACUCUUCAAAAAGCAAACAAUGGUUGAAAUCAAAGGCACUGAAUUCAUGAUGGUAAACCAUUGACAUGCUUCCGAAAUCUUUAUCAUUCUUUCCUGUUGUGAAAUCCACCACAUGAUCAACACUCUGCAAAUGAUAAUUUAGAUAGUUAUUCGUAAAUAUAUAUGAAUAUCAAACCUAAUGAAACAUGGGCAUAAAGGUAAAUGGCCUGGAGAUUUGGCUCUUCCAUUGCUAGACGGCCAGUACCAGUUGAUGCUUGAAACCAAUUUCCAUGCAUGUUAUACCUUUGGGAUUGGCUGCACAACAUAGCCUCUGAACAGAUGGACCCCAAUGUGCCGUUCAACAGUUCGGCCAGUGUUCUAUGCUCCUUAAUUACUGAGAUAAUUGGGAAUAGAUCCCUGAAGAAAAAAGAACAAAAUACACUGUAUUAAGGUGCCCAAAAAUUACUGAUCACUACUGUACUUAACAAAAUAUUGAUCUAUUUGACAAGUUCAGCAAGGGAAAGAAGGUGGCGGAUGUGCUCGGACAGCGACAGACUGAUGCUGAGGGGCAGCCACAUGCGGGCAUCCAUUGAUACAUUUCAACAUAUUGGAUUAUUUUGUUCUGAAUUCUUUAGUCAGGUACCUUCUUUCUCUUGACACAACUUCAGCAACAUGUUUUAUAUAUUUAGAACUUCCAGUUUAAUAGUAGAGAUUUAAUCUCAAUACUUGCUUGCAUGGUGUAAGAAUGUAGAAGUAUGUUUUAUUUUGGAAUCCUAGCUGUAGUCUACAACUCGGUGCUCCAAGAUUUGUUUUUGGCAUGGACUUCUUUGCUACCUCAUCUGCGAUCCCCAUUAUUUGUUGCUUGAUUCUCUAUGCAAGAAUGUUGCCUCAUGGUCGAACAUAUGUGAUCACCUAUUCUCUAUGCAGUUGGUACAAUGAACCCCGAAUUCCUGUGAAAUGUAUAGCAAGGAUUUUCUCCCUCAAAUAUAUAGAUGGCAAUUACACCCUCUGUAAAGAAAUAUAAGAGCAUUUAGAUCACUACUAUAGUGAUCUAAACGUUCUUAUAUUUCUUUAUGGAGGGAGUUGUUGUUUAUGUAGAAAAUAAUACCUUAGUUCUUAAGGGAAUUGUAUCUGAUGAAUUUUGGCACACCAUUUUGACAUUUUAUUGUCCAUCAUUUCAUCUGAGGUGUUGCUUAUUAGAAGCGAACAUAAUGCCUAAUCUACAUGAUAAUAUUAAAAUGUACUUAAAAAUACCAUUGACACCAUCGAAGCCAUGCGACCCCACACUGCUCCGUUGACAUAGAUAUCAUGCAUGGACGAUGAAAGGAGGGUCAACUUGUUGCCGAUUAUUUUCCAGUUCAUAAGAACAUUUGUCGGUACCAUAACAAGUGCCAUACUUAGUUUAUCACCAUAAUAUCUACUCCCUCCGUUCCAAAAUACUUGUCGUGGUUUUAGUUCAAAUUUGAACUAAAACCACGACAAGUAUUUUGGAACGGAGGGAGUACUAGCAUAGCGAUUGUUGUUAUUGGCAGUGGUGGUUCAGACCUGGUUGAUCCUGGGGAGAGGUUGUUUGAUUGGAGUCACAUCGGAUUAUCUCUAUCAAGUGCAAUAGUAGCAAUACCCGGCCAUAGCUUCAGUAUGUAAAAUGCUUGUAGCAUUUGCAAUCAAAAGGUAUCAUCAUCAUUGAGUGGCCUCCGGACAUAGUUCAACUGUUGUUACUCUUUUCGCUAAAGUGAAAUACAUGGUUUUCUGUGAGAACUUAAUUCUUUGAACUUCGAGAUCAUCUACCUUUUUUGGGACACUGCAGGACAUGGUUGAUAAUCAUGACAGUAAACUUUGGUGGAGAUCAAGGCCUGGUUAAAACCAAGUGAGCUUUUGUAGCUAGACUGUUUAAAAUGGAUGAAAUGGGCCAGUUACUGUUAUACAUGAAAUUCUGGACAGGUAGAGAUCAUUUUCAUGAUAUAUGAGUUUUCACUCUGUCUUCCUACUUCAUUGCUGAAACGUGUCAUGGGAAACCUAUUUUAGGGAAACAUAAAACAAUUGUUCUUUUGUUGUGUAUUAUUGCAUCUCAUCUUAGCUUUUAUUCCUCUGUAAACAAAUGUAAGACAUAACGUCUUAUUCUUGUUUACAGAGGGAGUAGAAUAUAUUUUUACAAUCAUCUUCUAUCGGCCAGAUUUCAAGUGUCAUGUUUUCAUAAAGCUGAAUUUUUCAUCUUAGUCCGCUUAAUUUGCAAUGGUUAUUUUACACUUACCACUGGAAAGAUGUUUUCUUUUAAUCAUAUUGUCUCUAGCUGAUCCUCACCUCAUAUCACACCGCAGUUGUCCCUCCUACAUUAGCUCGUUACACUUACUACAAUAACACAGCGGUGGCGGGUACAGGGGCAUUCCGGCGAUCUGUGGACAGACUGGCUUGAGGACGAGCAGGGGCUUUUGAGAGCUGGGGCCGGCAGCUUAGCGGUGAACAGGGAUGACGGUGUAUGGAAGUGGGCUGUGGUGGGCAUGGAACAACAUGGCCCAUGUCGCCUCUUCAUUCAGCUCAACAUGAUGGUCGUUCAUCUGAAAACAAGGUUGGGAUUUGGGAAGACAAUUAUCUGAGGGUGAUUCAGAUUUGAACAUGAAUGCAAAAUACAUCUGCGAUUUGAUUUUUGUACAUGGAAUAAAUUUUGUAUAUUGUGUAUACCUUUCUUCUAUUAGUAGUUUGUAAAUAUCAUGAAUCCAGUCUUAGGCAUAAACAAGUGACAUCUGAGUGGAGAAAGACAGUUCGCCCACUAAUGUGGUGAUGUCAAACAUUUGAAUUGCGUAUGGAGGUUCUUUCAUCGCAAAUAGCAAAGUUUGAUAGGGACUUACUUUAAUCAGCCAUGAAAAAGAUCUGCAGUCCUGAUCCAGAAUUGGCAAAACUGAAUGUCAAAAGCCAGAUAAAGGCAUUGCUUGAUUGCUACAAGAGUUAAUAACAUACACAAUGGCAUAUUAGCUGCAUAUAUGCCCAUGGCAUAUUAGCUGCAUAU